rnacentral:rRNA from 1 species
GAUUAACGCUGGCGGCGUGCAUAACACAUGCAAGUCGAACGAGUGGCGAACGGGUGAGUAAUAUAUCGGAACGUACCGAGUAAUGGGGGAUAACCAAUCGAAAGAUUGCCUAAUACCGCAUAUUAUUCGAGCGGCCGAUAACUGAUUAGCUAGUUGGUGGGGUAAAGGCCUACCAAGGCGACGAUCAGUAGCGGGUCUGAGAGGCAGAUCCGCCACACUGGGACUGAGACACGGCCCAGACUCCUACGGGAGGCAGCAGUGGGGAAGUUUGUACAAUGGGGGAAACCCUGAUCCAGCCAUGCCGCGUGUAUGAAGAAGGCCUUCGGGUUGUAAAGUACUUUAGUUAGGGAGGCGGUACCUAAAGAAUAAGCACCGGCUAACUACGUGCCAGCAGCCGCGGUAAUUC